rnacentral:rRNA from 1 species
UACAGAGGUCUCAAGCGUUGUUCGGAUUCAUUGGGCGUAAAGGGUGCGUAGGCGGCGCGGUAAGUCGGGUGUGAAAUCUUGGAGCUUAACUCCGAAACUGCAUUCGAUACUGCCGUGCUUGAGGACUGGAGAGGAGACUGGAAUUUACGGUGUAGCGGUGAAAUGCGCAGAUAUCAGGAGGAACACCCGUGGCGAAAGCGGCUCUCUGGGACGGUACUGACGCUGAGACGCGAAAGCGUGGGGAGCAAACGGG